UUUCCGUAGGUGAACCUGCGGAAGGAUCGUUA
rnacentral:rRNA from 1 species